GAUGAACGCUGGCGGCGUGCCUAAUACAUGCAAGUCGAGCGAACAGACGAGGAGCUUGCUCCUCUGACGUUAGCGGCGGACGGGUGAGUAACACGUGGAUAACCUACCUAUAAGACUGGGAUAACUUCGGGAAACCGGAGCUAAUACCGGAUAAUAUAUUGAACCGCAUGGUUCAAUAGUGAAAGACGGUUUUGCUGUCACUUAUAGAUGGAUCCGCGCCGCAUUAGCUAGUUGGUAAGGUAACGGCUUACCAAGGCAACGAUGCGUAGCCGACCUGAGAGGGUGAUCGGCCACACUGGAACUGAGACACGGUCCAUACUCCUACGGGAGGCAGCAGUAGGGAAUCUUCCGCAAUGGGCGAAAGCCUGACGGAGCAACGCCGCGUGAGUGAUGAAGGUCUUCGGAUCGUAAAACUCUGUUAUUAGGGAAGAACGAAUGUGUAAGUAACUAUGCACGUCUUGACGGUACCUAAUCAGAAAGCCACGGCUAACUACGUG
rnacentral:rRNA from 1 species